rnacentral:rRNA from 1 species
UACGUAGGGGGCUAGCGUUGUCCGGAAUCAUUGGGCGUAAAGUGCGCGUAGGCGGCCAGAUAAGUCCGGUGUGAAAGUCACAGGCUCAACCUGUGAAUGCCGCUGGAAACUGUCUGGCUUGAGUCCGGAAGGGGCGAGUGGAAUUCCUGGUGUAGCGGUGAAAUGCGCAGAUAUCAGGAGGAACACCAAUGGCGAAGGCAGCUCGCUGGAACGGUAACUGACGCUGAGGCGCGAAAGCGUGGGGAGCGAACAGG